CCUGCCCUUUAGAUGGGGACAACAGUUGGAAACGACUGCUAAUACCCAAUACUCCUUUUGAACAAAAGUUCGAUCGGGAAAUGUUUUUUCGCUAAAGGAUGGGGCUAUACGGUAUCAGCUUGUUGGUGAGGUAAGAGCUCACCAAGGCAAUGACGCCUAGCUGGUCUGAGAGGAUGAUCAGCCACACUGGAACUGAGACACGGUCCAGACUCCUACGGGAGGCAGCAGUGAGGAAUAUUGCACAAUGGGGGANACCCUGAUGCAGCAACGCCGCGUGGAGGAUGACGCAUUUCGGUGUGUAAACUCCUUUUAUCAAGGAAGAAAUUUGACGGUACUUGAUGAAUAAGCACC
rnacentral:rRNA from 1 species